rnacentral:rRNA from 1 species
GGUGAACGCUAGUAGUAUGCUUAACACAUGCGAGUCGAACGGAGGACAAUACUUCGUGGCGUACGGGUGAGUAACACACAGGAAUCUGCCUUUUAGUUCAGGAUAAAAUUCUGAAUAAUCAAAGAAAACUUUUCGCUAAAAGAUGAGCCUGUGUAGGAUUAGGUAGUUGGUAUUUGGGUAAAGCCUACCGAGCCUAUGAUCCUUAGCUGUUCUGAGAGGUUGUACAGCCACACUGGGACUGAGACAAGGCCCAGGCUUCAUUUGGAGCCAGCAGUGAGGAAUUUUGGACAAUGAGCGAAAGCUUGAUCCAGCAAUACUACAUGAGUGAUGAAGUCCUUCGGGACGUAAAGACCUUUAUGAGGGAGGAAGUAAUUGACGUUACCUCAUGAAUAAGGGGCUCCUAACUCUGUGCCAGCAGCCGCGGUAAU